CAUUUUCGAUUUUUACUCGCCAAAUUAAACUUUGGCAUUUUGCAGACAUUAAGAAAAAAAUUUAAAAAAAUGUGAAUGGGGCUUGUCGAUUUUGUGGGGGUGCGAUUUUCCUGCACAGAGGACAUUUUGGCGGGCAAGAGAAAAAAAAGUGGUGCGGGAAAAAAACGAAAAUUGGGGCGGCGCGCCCUAAAAAACAGGAGUCCUGAAAAAAAGUAUGUGACGAACAUGAAAAAAUCUUUUUUCUGGCGCGCGCAGGAGUCUGCACAUACAAAAAAAAAUAGAAUUCGCGGAAAAAAGAUUUUUUCUGGGUGUGCAGUUCUGCGCGGGGUCAAAACGCGCUCGGAGGAUAUAUAUGUGGGUGAGAGCCUACAACACAGUUGCGAAAAGGCAAAGCGCCUGGAAGCUGCAGUGGCAAAUAUUCCUCGAUGUUGAGGACGGUGCGGACGCCGAGCGCCGUGUGGAACCCUAGUUGAAGCCGGAAGGUGAAGAGAACGCUGUGUUUUGUGGCAGUACUGUAAUCGCAAAUCUCUGAAGCGGAGAAACCUUGGUCGUUGCUGGAAGGUGACGGCGCGUGUGUGCGGCAGUUGCCGGCGGGGGGUCGAAUCCCCCUCGCUGGUGGCGGCGGCGAGUAUGAAGGAGGGCACACACGCGUCGAAACUAACCAGUGACUUCCCGGGUGGACUCGUGGAGGGGAGGCGGGAUAUGCCGGGAGGCCCUCGUCGAAACAUGAUGCACUUGGAUCCGGAUGGGACUUGGAAGAAGCAUGGCAACCAGCGGAGGCACGGUCCAACAAGGAGAUUCGGCCGGUACGGACGGGAAUAUUCUACGCUGCAGUGGACAUGAGAGUUGCUCUUGGAACUACUGUGCAAAGCCAUUGUGGGCAUAGGCGACGGACGUCAGUCCCCGCCCUGGCCACUCGGUAUACGUCAGUCUUGGUCCGACAGUGUCGGGGCAAGCAGUGCUGGGUUUGGUGGAUUACUAGGCGAUGCCUGUACUACUAGACUCUGGGGUGGCGUCUCAACAACUCUGUUGUUGGAGAUCAAACUCCUCUGACGCCUGCCAACAAUGAUUCAUCACUGGAACGCAGGCGGAAGAAAACAAAGUGGGCUACGCAUCAUCAAUCAUCAACUCUACAAGCCACAGCGUUCCGCGCCGGGGUGUAAUAG
rnacentral:misc_RNA from 1 species